UACGUAGGGGGCAAGCGUUGUCCGGAUUUACUGGGCGUGAAGGGCGCGUAGGCGGUCAGCACAAGUCAGUUGUGAAAUCUCCGGGCUUAACUCGGAAAGGUCAACUGAUACUGUGCGACUAGAGUGCAGAAGGGGCAACUGGAAUUCUCGGUGUAGCGGUGAAAUGCGUAGAUAUCGAGAGGAACACCUGCGGCGAAGGCGGGUUGCUGGGCUGACACUGACGCUGAGGCGCGAAAGCCAGGGGAGCGAACGGG
rnacentral:rRNA from 1 species